UGGGGAAUAUUGCACAAUGGGCGCAAGCCUGAUGCAGCCAUGCCGCGUGUAUGAAGAAGGCCUUCGGGUUGUAAAGUACUUUCAGUCGGGAGGAAGGUGUCAAGGUUAAUAACCUUGGCAAUUGACGUUACCGACAGAAGAAGCACCGGCUAACUCCGUGCCAGCAGCCGCGGUAGUACGGAGGGUGCAAGCGUUAAUCGGAAUUACUGGGCGUAAAGCGCACGCAGGCGGUUGAUUGAGUCAGAUGUGAAAUCACCGGGCUAAACCUGGGAACUGCAUUCGAAACUGGCAGGCUAGAGUCUUGUAGAGGGGGGUAGAAUUCCAGGUGUAGCGGGGAAAUGCGUAGAGAGCGGGAGGAAUACCGGUGGCGAAGGCGGCCCCCUGGACGAAGACUGACGCUCAGGGGGGAAAGCGUGGGGAGGAAACAGG
rnacentral:rRNA from 1 species